CUCAACACAUGAAUAAAAAUAUUAAAUGAAUUUUAAAACAAUGAAUUAUACAAAUAGAAAACUCAAUUAAAACAGAAUUUAAAUAGAAGAGAUAAUUUACAAAAUAAAAAAAAACUAUUGAAAUAGAAAUAAUGACUAAAGCGUAAUAUACACGAAUAUUCAGGGAUCAAAACUGAAAAUAUUACAGGUCCUGAAACACUGUGUUUAGGUGCGGACUGAAUUGCAAAGACACACAAAUUCUAGGAAAAAUUUGAAAUAAAAUAAAAUGUAAAUACAGAUCAAUUAAAAACCUGCACAAAGCCGAAGGAUCAGUUGCGCAAUUUAACCAUUCGAAGUGCAAAAGUGUGGCUCCAUACAGCACCGUUUCAAAUUCACCACAAAAUCAAGCUAAAAAAGUACCUAAAGUCAAACACUCAACAAAAUUAAAAGAAAGAAAAAAAACAAAACCCAUCCUUCUUCAUUCGGCUAAACCAGAGGCAUUAUUCAACCUCCCCUUCGCCUCCAUAUCUUCGAAUCAGAUCCCCGAAUCCUCAUCAAAGCUUCAAUUUCAGUGAAGCAAACAAAGAUUCAGAGGCUCCUUCAACAACAGAUAAGUCUCCCUUUCCCCUUAUAGAUUCAUUUUUUCAUGCAAUAGAUAAAAAUGAUGAAAUAGAAAUGAAAAUCAAGGAAGAACACGAUCUAAAAUCACCUUCAAACUAAUUUCAAAUUGAUUUUUCUUUCAGUAUCCAUGUGUAUUUCUGUGGGAAAAAAAUGAUCCCCGUUACAUCAUUUUUUUCUGGCUUUUUAUAGCCAAAUGAAAAUUAAUAAUAUUAAUCAUAAUAAAAAAUACAAGCAAUUUUCCCUAAGAUCUCCUUGCUGUCAAUCUGUUGUGGGUUGUUAUUUUGCACGAACAGAGCCAGCUAGAUGAUGGCGUACGUGGCAACAGCGAAGGAGGCGCAUGUGGGGCUGGCACGGAGGCAGCAACAGUGCUGGAGGCUGUUGAAAGUUGCUGCAGUGCAAAGGAUGAUGCUAGGGUCUUCUAGAAAUUUUAGAUUUUGGGCCAAUUUGUGUUUGGGUUUAUUUGGGCUUUGGUUUAGUUGUUGAGUUGUUAUAAAAUGGACUAUGGACACUUAUUAUUGGAUUUUUAUUUUGUUAUUUUGUUUUUCUUUUGGUUUUGGUAUGGGCCCGGGCGAAAUGGGCCUAUUACAUCAAGAAGACUAGGGUGCAUUUAUUUUUUUAUGCAUUUUAAUAAUUUUCAUUGCAUAUUCACCUAUCCUUAUGUUAGAACAUUCAUGCUUAUAUUAGUAUCUUGUUUGUAGAUACCUAACUGUUUACUUUGGUUUCUUAAUGUUAGCUCUUUGUUUUCAUAUAUUUCAAUUUCUAUUUUUAGACUAACAACAUUUCUCUCUUAAGCUUUAUUUUGUGAUUUUUUUUUAUAUAACAAAAAGGGGAGAAGAGAACAAUAAUAAGGUAAAUAAAAUUGAUAGUUGGUUGAUUAUGACUAUUCUUUAAAUGCCAACAUUUUAGUGACCAAAAUUUUAAAUCUCAAGUCUUUGUUUUUAAAUUCCUAAAAUUAAGUCAUUGAUUCAAAUUGAACUUUAACAAGGGGAGUAACAAAUUCAAAAAUAAAUUUACCAAAAUGUUUUGUUAUAUCAAAAAGGGAGAGAUUGUUAAACUAGCUUUAUUCGAUAAAUUGUUUUGAUAUAACAAACAAAAAUGUUUUUAAAUAAAAUUUGAUUUUAAACAUAGAUAUAAAGUUCAAAGCAUACAAAUUAUUUUAAAACUUCCAAACAUCUUAGAAAAUGUUUUGAACUCUUAAAAUAUUAUGGACAAAGUUCAAAAUCGGUUUUAAAUUCUUGAACUUAAUUGAAACAAUUUUAAAUCAAUUGAAAAAUUGCUCCUUGCAAAAAGUAUUGAUGUUUUCCAGAAAAUAUCAAUACCCAUAUGAUUAUUAUCGAUACCAAAAUUGCUCACUGACUUUAAUAAAAAAAAUUUGAACAAAAGCAAUAAAUAUCUAUACUUUUCUAAAUAUAUCGAUACCUAUUGAAUUUUUCGAUACCAUUUUUUUAUUGAUACCACUUUUACGUUUUUUUUUCUAUGAUUUUUCAAACAAUGACAAAAAAGUAUCGAUACUCAUUAAAAAUAUCGAUACCAAAAUUGAUCACUAACUUGAAUAAAAAAAUUAAUAAGUAUUGAUACUUUUCUAAAUAUAUCGAUACCUAUUGAAUUUUAUCGAUGCCACUUUCGCAUUUUAUUUCUAUGAUUUUUCAAAUAAUGACAAAAAAUAUUGAUACCUAUUAAAAAUAUCGAUAUCUUUUAUUAGAUAUCGAUAAAUCAUCUUUAAUAUCGUUGUAAACUAACUUUAAUUAUCAUUGAAUUAUCCACUAAAUGCUACUAGUAUCGAUACUCGUAGAAAAAAUAUCGAUACAUUUAGUUGCAGGUGAAUUUAAUGAUAUGGUAUUUUCAUCCCCAACGGUUCUAUUUAUUUUCUCAACAACCACAACAAUUGAAAAUCAAUUAGAUGGUAUAAAUACCAGCUUUUAAAGGUUCAAACAAAACAGUGAGAUUACAAUAGAUCAAAUGCUUCAAGAUACAUAAAAAAUCCAUUACCAAUCACAUUAUGUUUUAAUUCUUUAUCUUCUUAUUGCAAACACUUGUGAGCAUUCAUUGUACUUUCCAUCAGCUCAAGUGUUUUCCUUGUAUUUGUGAUUAAUUGGCAACUAUCUCAAUCUUGUGAGGACUAUUUCUUUGUUUGCUUAUUUGUUAUACUCUUUGAUAGGGUUGAGUCUUAAGGUUUGGGUAGAAACCUUAAGGGAAUUGCAAUAUUAAGAUUUGGGUAGAAAUAUUAAGGGAAUUGUAAGGUUAAACCUUGUCAUCAAAUGUUGUCAAAUUAGUGAAUUUGAGAGAAUCCUUAGUUGUAAAAAGCUAAGGUAGUGAAGUAGGCAAUUGGGGCUGAACCACUAUAAGUCAUUGUGUUAAAUUUUUCUAUCCUUUCUUUCAAGCUUCCACAAAAUUUUUAAAAGGCCCACCCUUUCUUGGCUAUUUCUAGUUAUCAAUUGAGCUAACAGAAAGGAACGUCAUUUGUUGUCUCAGCACCAAGAGAUAGGCCUUCAACAUGUGGAACGAUGACCAGAAUAAAUGUUAUGAGACUCGAACAAAGAUUAAAAGCCUCAACCUUGCACAAUGUUUUAGUCGGCAACAAGAAAAAAAAAUUUGUGGCCAUUCUGUGCUAAUUUGUUAGCCAAAUGAACAAAUGGUGUAAUACGGUCAAGGACAAACCAUGGUGGAUACAUGCAAUGUGAAAGGUUUUGGUUGCCAUAGCUGAUAUAUAGGUGUUUUAUUAAAUUGCUCCAAAGAUACAAAAUUUACUAAUUAAAAGAUAAACUUGAGUGCCUCGAAUGCAAUCCUAUUAUACCAUUUCUUGAAACUUACUAUGCUAUCCUUUUUAAUAAUUAUGCCUAGAUAGUUUCUUGGUUACUAAUGUUUGGAAACCUGUAUAGAAAACCAAAAUAUCCCCAAAUUUUUAAAGUGUUUGCACCCAUAGUAAUAAUAUUUGUAAAAAUAAAAAAAUACUCUAUUAUUUGUUAAACUUUAUUUAUUACGCAAAUUGAUACUAAGAUAUGUGUUAAGAGAAACAAUAUUUUUUUGGUUUUACAACUCGUUUAAUCGAUUAGUUGUUUAGUUAGGUAUAUAUCCUUGAGUUAUAGUUGCUUCCAUUUCCACUUUGUGAAUGCCAUUUUGUCAACAGGUGGCUGAUGAUCGGCAUUUACUGAAGUUCGAUGAGUAGAAGGCUGUGUAUACUAACAGAGACAAACAGGUUAUGUGUACUAACAGAGACAAACAUGAGCUAAAUAAAUUUCUUCUAUUUUAUCGUGAUAAUUACAAAACAAAGCUAAUGAAAUAUACACACAACUAACUAUUUUAUCGUGAUAAUUACAAAACAAAACCAAUGAAUAUAUACACACAACUGACUACCUAAUUGCUAUUAACCAACCGCUAACUAACUAACUACUAACUAAAAGUUUUUCAACACUUCCCCUCAAGUUGGAGAAUGAUAUAUAUAUCUUUCAUUCCCAACUUGGACAUCAAAUAUUCAUGCUGAUAGAUCCCUAAAAAUUUUGUUAAGAUAUCAUCUUGUUGGUCCUUUGUAGGUACAUGAUGUGUUUUUACAAAGCUUUUUUGAAUCUUCUUACGCACAAAAUGAGAAUCAAUUUCUAUAUGUUUUGUCCUCUCAUGAUAAACCGAGUUGGCUGCUAUCUGCAGUGCUACUUGGUUGUCACAGUAAACUCUGCUGGUGUAUGAAGUUCAACCUCUAAUUCCUUGACCAAUCAUUUUAACCAUACUAAUUCAGACACUAUGGAAGCCAUAUAUCUAUACUCUGCCUCUGCUGAAGAUUGUGACACUGUGUUUUGUUUCUUAGAUUUCUAGUAUACCAAUGAAUCUCCCAACUUAAUGCAUUAGCCUGUGACUGACCUUCGCAUCAUAGGACAAGUCGCCCAAUCAGAAUCAUAGAAAGCACUCAACUACGGUUUAUUGUUUCUGCAAGUAAAAUUCCAUACCCUGGAAACUUCUAUAUGUACCUCACUACACAUAAUGCAGCUUCAUAAUGAACCCUUUUAGGUGCUUGCAUGAACUGACUAAGAUGUUGAACAACAUAUGUAAUAUCUAGACGCAUGUGUGUUAAGUAGAGUAAUAUUCCAAUUGACCUUUGAUAUACACCAGCAUCUUCUAAGACUUUACCUGGUAUAGAUUCGCUCACUCUCUCAUCAUACUACAUUGAGGUAAGCCUAUGAUUUUGUUUAAGUAGAGUUGAUGCACAAUUAGCUCCCCUAAACUUGAAUCGACUAUGAGUUCCAAGGUAUAUUUUCAUUGGUUUAGCACUAUUCCUUUUUUGGAUCUAGUGAUCUCAAUGCCAAGAAUGUACUUGAGAUGACCAAGGUCAUUCAUUCGAAAAUUCUGAUAAAGAAUGCCCUUAAGUUCAAUUAUAAGAUCAUUAUCAUUCCAUGUAAUUAAGUGAUCAUCAACAUAAAUCAACAUCAUCACCAAUUAACAUUCUCUUUUUGUAAACAUAGAAUAAUUAUGUAAGCUCUGCAAAUAACCAUUGAAAAGAAGUACCUUAAUCAGCUUCAUAUUCCAUUGACGAGAAGCUUACUUCAAUCCAUACAAGGACUUGAGCAACGUACAAACCCGAGGCUCCCCCUGGUUGAGAAAACUUUCUAGAAAAGUCAUAUAAACUUCCUCAUAGAGAUCACCUUACAAAAAAGCAUUGAACACGUCCAUUUGAAACAAAGGCUAACCAAACAUGGCUGCUAAAGCAAUAAUUGUUCGAACCGUAACCUACUUUGUUACUAGAGAGAACGUAUCAUGAAAAUUAAUACCUUCACGUUGAUUGUAACCUUUAGUAACCAACCGAGCCUUAAAUUAUUCAAUCGAACCAUCAAAAUUGUACUUCACUUUAAGAACCUAUUUGCAACCAAUAGGUUUCUUACCAAGGGGUAACUCCACCACUCUUCAUGUACCAUUUGCCUCUAAAUCCUGAAUUUCUUUUUUCAUAGUUUCUACUUAUCGUUCAUCAAUAAUUGCCUCAUGAUAGGUACGUGGUUCAACAAUGAAAGAUAAAGAAAUAAAAAAAACACACGUUUAUGAUAAGGUAAAUGAGCAUAUGAAAUGUGAUUAGUGAUAGAGUUCAUACCUUGAUACAGUGAAGUUGAUGAAGAGGAUUGAGGAUGGCAAAUAAAGUCAGAUAGCCAAGCUGGUGGUCUACUCACCUGAGACGAUUUACUCAAAGGGGCAAAUGGUAUUAUAGGAAAAGAGGAGGCAGUUAUGUUAAGAGAUAAAGUAUUAGGUGUGAUAGACAACAGUUGGGUUGAAAAAGUCUUGUAGGGAAACAAUAGGAAUAUGAAAUGUAACAUCUCGAUUUAGGAUCUAGUCGGAACAGUGGUUUUGAGACCAUAAAUUCGACAUAAGAAAAUUUAUUUUUAUUAUAUUUUUAUGGUCUACGAUUUCAUAAAAUGAUUUCAUGAAAAUUUAGUUUGAAAAUGUUGACGUUUAGGCACUCAAAUUAGUCAAAAGGACUAAAUCGUAAAAGUGCAAAAGUUGAGUUCUACAUGCUAGAGGUGUCCAAUUGUUAUGAAAUUUUAAAUUUAAUGUCCUUAUAUGGUAAUUAGACCAUUGGUUAAGUUGGUGGACAAAAAUGUACAUGGUUAGGCAUGUUUCCAAAGUUUUUCAUUAAGGACAUUUUGGUCAUUUAGUUAUUAAAAUGAAUUAAAAACAAAAAUAAAAGCUCAAAAAUUUUUCCAUCUUCCUUCUUGGCCGAAAUUUUCAAGAGGAAGCAAUGGCUAGGGUUUUUCAAGCUUUCAAGCUCGAUUAUCAAAGAAAACGAGAUUUGGGCCUAGAACAAGGGAAAAUGAGUAAUUGACGGUUAGGUCCUUCUUUGCCAUUUUGGUGUCGAGGUAAGUUUGUAUCUAAAUAAUGAUAUGUUAUGUUUGUAUUUUAAAUAUUCUAAAUGCUUUAAUAAUGUAUGAAAUAAAUGAUUGAUUCUAUGGUUGUAUUUGACGAAGUUCGGAUAAGUGAGAAAAAUCCCAUUUGAACCUUAGGAAUAGAAUAGGAUACGAGUGACAUGUCACUAAGGAUAUUUGUGAUGUAUGUGUGAUUAUGUGAUCCAGGUGCUGGUCUCGUACGUUUACCACUGGCUGGGUAGUCCGGCAUGUGUUGUGGAUACUUGACAGCUUGUGUGAGUAGCACUGCAUAGUUGCGUCUUGACCGUCAGCUUAUGUGAGCAGGCCCGAGAUUUACUCAAGAGUGAGCAUUUAUGUGAUAUGAUAUAUGAGGUAGCUUUAGCUAUAUAUGUAGCACUUAUGUGCAAAAACUUUUCGUGUAUUCAUUUAGUAUUCCAAGUGUUCAACGGGUAUGCCAAAGAUGAGAAAGUAAAUGGUUAUGUACGAGAUGGUACAGGUAUGUACAUAAAGAUUUUAAGUAUUGACUUCAUGAUAUUGUGAGUUAUGAUCACUAUGAAAGUGACUUUAAGAUAGCCCUAUAAUUGUUGAUUUAUGGAUAUGAUGUAUAAAUGUAUGUAAACACCGUUGCCUAUAAUUGUUGAUUUAUGGACAUGAUGUAUAAAUGUAUGUAAACACUGUUGAUGACUAUAUGUUAAGCCUCGAAGGCCCAUAUAAGGGACGAUAUGUAUAUGAAUGAAAAGUUUUAAAUUUGGACGAAAAUUUAGGUCUUGAUUUUGUAUGAUUGUGUGAGUUUAUGUCCGGUAGCGCCUUGUACCCUAUUCCAACAUCGAAUACGGGUAAGGGGUGUUACAUGAAGAAACUCAUGGCCAAAAUCAUUUAUGGAAGGUGGGAAUAAAGAUGAGCCUUUGACUGGAAAUUGAAAGGGAAAAAUGGUUUCAUGGAAGAUAACAUCAGGAUUAACAAAAAAAGUUUUAGAUUGAAAGUUAAACAAGACAUAACCCUUUUGAACUGAAGAAUAACCCAUGAAUAUGGAAGGGAUGGCUUUGGAGGUGAAUUUGUCAUGGUAAUUGCUCAUUGUGGCAUAACAGAAAUAACCAAAAAUCCUAAGGUGAGACAAAGUUGAAAACUUAUGAUAAAGCAUUUCAAACGGAGACUCCCAAGUUAAAACUGUAGGCAAUCUAUGAUGAUAUAACACGUUGGUAAUAACACCCCUAACCCUUAUUCGUCGCCAGAAAAGGGUUACGGAGCAUUACCAGACUUUUUAGAUCAUAUACGAAUAUUUCAUACCAUUUAACAAAAAAUAUUGUAAAUAAAUCAUAUUGUCCCUUUUAUGAGCCUUCGAGGCCCAAAAUAUGUGCUAGAAAUAAAUCGUGACAAAAUCAGGUAUUCAGAAAAUUUUUCCAAAAACAUUAAAAUUUUUUAUAAAAUUAAGGGACACACGCCCGUGUGUUAGCCGUGUGUCUCACACGAUCCAGUCACAUGCCUGUGUAUCUGGCUGUGUGGACUCAAAAUGAACCUUAAGCAUCAAGUUUACCAUACCUGCAAUCUUGAACACUAAACAACUCAAAAACCAUUUAUUCAACCAAUCCAAAACACAAUAAAAUUCAUUUAAAACAUGUCAAAAUAAUCAAUCUAGUUGUCUAACCUAUGUACCUUCAUAGGUACUUCAAUUAUAUUAUCAAAAUAUUUCAAAAUGGCCUUAUUCAAAUCAAAUUUGUAAACAUAUCAAUUUUAAUCUAAUUUUCCUAUUUUAUUUCAAUUUGAACAUCAAUUUAAACAUUUCAUAUUAUAACCUCGAACAUGAGCAUAUUUAUAUAUAUAACCAACCCAAAAUUAACUUAUAAUCAUAUUUACAAUCAAUCCAUAAAGUAGUUACAUUAGACACCCUAGGUACAUGCCGACACAAAAAGAAAUAUACAUUACCACAUUUGAGAUCGGGAUCAUUGAUGGAUGAUAAAUCGGCGAUCAAAUUAGGUACCUAACCUACGAAUGGAAAAAAAAUCGUACACUGAGUAUAAACUUAGUGGUAUUUCUAUAAUCUGAAUAUUUAAAGUAAGAUAAUAUAAAAUGCAUGUUUAAGCAUACAAUAACAAUAAUCUUUCAAAUAAUCAAUUCAUAACAAAUGAUUCUUAACUUAUUCAUUUCUCAUCACUUACUAUCUCAAUAACUUUUCACAAUUCAUGUUUCUCAUUUCCAUUUCACAUUCAAUGCUUUUCAAUACUAAUCAUAGUAUCAUUUCAUUUAAUUAUCCCUAUAACAUGACUCGAGCUCUGACGGAUACACGAAUCCAACCAAAACACACUAGUUUGGCACCCAACGCCUCAUCAGAUAAUUCGAAGUAAUAAGUUGACACCCAGUGUCUUAUCGGCUAAAUCGAAGUAAAUUGGCACCCAAUGCCUCAUCGAAUUAAUCCGAAGUAAUAGAUUGACACCCAGUGUCUCAUCGACUCGAAGUCAAAGAAUCCCUAUACUCUUCCAAUCCUAUGGCAUGCCAUCUAUAUCCGACUCAGCCCGAUACAGUUAAUAGGUUUUCAAUUCACUUUUCAAAUGCCACAAUCAUCCAAUAUUCAAAUAUCCAAUAUUCAAAUAUCACAUUAAUUAUAAAUUCACAUAUAUUCAAUUCAAUAUCAUAAUGCUAAUUACUUACCUUAUUCACUUACCUUUGACAUUAAAUCAAAAAUACAACAAUUAAUAUUUAGAUUCAGAUUAUAGAAAUACAAACCAGAACUUUUGAGCUACUCUUCGUUGACUUUAUCUUUUCCUUUCCUAGUCAUAGUUUCCGGCACAAAGUUUGCAAUUAAACUUUGAACAAUUGAAACCCUAACUUUCCUCCUUUCUUUCCCUUAUUCUUUUUCUUUUCUGUUUCGUUUGUUCUUGUUUCUUUCUAUUCUUUUUCUUUUCUUUUAUUUCUUUUAUGUUUUAAUUAUAAUAAUAUAAUAUAAUAAUAUUUAUGUAUGCUUAAAUAUUAAGUAAGUAAUAAUAUAAAUAAAUUUAUGUAUAUAAAUUUUACAUAUGUCCUUACCAAUACUAAACACUUGUUAAUUUUAAGGCUUAAUUGCUUAUUUAGCCCUUCACCUUUCUCUAAUCUAUAAUUUAACUUUCUCCCUAUAUGCAAUCUAGUCUUUGUACCUAAUUACUCUUAAUUUAAGCAAAUUCACCUAAUUAAAACCUAAUUAACCACAUAACUAACUUCAUAAAUUUUUUAAUAAAUAUUUACUAAUCCGUUUUACGAAAAUGGAGACCCGAAAGUACAAUUUCUAGUACCUGUGACUAUCGGGUCGUUACACUGUUAACACACACUCACCCUAAAAUUUGAUUGGAACAUGAUACUAAAACUUAAGGGCUUGAGCAACAUUUAACAAGUGUUGGUGUUUACGUUUAGCUAUGCCAUUUUACUAUGGAGUAUAGACGCAAGAACUCUGAUGGACAAUGCCAUUAGAAGAAAAGAAAUCCUUCCCUUCGAUGGUAAAAAAUUCUGAACCAUUGUCAUUUCUAAUCGUUUUGAUAAAAACUGAAAAAUGUGUGUACAUACACAAUAAAUUGUCUGAGGACAACAAAUGCAUCACUUUUGAGUCUAAGAAGAUAGACCCAUGUCAUUCGAGUGUGGUAAUCUAGAAUAGUUAAAAAAUACUAAUAUCCACUAUGUGUAGAAACACCAUAUGGUCCCCAAAGAUCAAUGUGUAUAAAGGAAAAAACGGUUUGUCUUCAGAAGAAGUACUAACAGGAAAUGGUAAGCAAAUCUAUUUUGUAAGAGGAAAAACAUCACAAUGUUGAAUAUGAUCAUUAUGGGAAAAAUUACAAUGUAAUUGAGACAUUUUAGACAGUGUGUUCAUAGAUUAAUGCCCAUACCUAGCAUGCCACAGUGUACUACCAUUAGAAUGUAAAGAAGAUGAUAAACAAGCAUGUGAUUGUGUGACAUGUGAUAAAGAUUUUGAAGAAGAAAACUUUGAGAAGGGUGAUGACUGCAAGAUGUAUAAACCUCCUCUAACUUUACCAAUCCCCUUCAUCUCGCCACUGCAAAGGUCCUGUAGAAGACAAAAUUGUGGAUAAAAUAUCACACAACAGUUGAGCUCUUUGGUUAAUUUUGAAAUAGAUAAUAAAUUGUAGUGAAAAUCAGGCACAUGUAAAACAUUGGUCAAGGUACGGGUAAGAGACAAGGUAUAUGUACCAAUGUGUGCAAUUUUGGUGGUUUUACCAUUUGAAAACUAAAUGAACGAUAGAGAAUCACAUGCAACAGGAGAAUCCAAAUGCUGCAAGUCAAACAUCAUAUAGUUUGUGGCUCUUAUGUCAAGAAUCCAACCGUGACUUAUACUUGCCAUAUGAGCAGCAGCAUACACUAUUGACUCAUUUCCACGCAAAUUAAGAAUCUGCUCAGCUGUAAAGAGAGGUGUCUAACAAGGAAUAGAAGAGGCAAUACUGUUGGACGAUGACUCAUUCAAGGCAGGAUCAGACACACUUGUUGUCACAACAUUAUUGGCAGAUGAUUCUUUUUUUUUUAGUAAACUUAUAAUCAACUGGAUAGCCUACAAGUUUGUAGCAUGUCUCCUUUUUAUGACCUUUAAUAUGACAAUAAUCACAUACAUCAUUGAAGCAUUUCCUUGACUGAGAAGAAAAGAAAUUUGUGUAUAAUGUUGUUGGUUCAGCAGCCAACAAGGAUCCACCAAAAUUCUAACGCUUCCCUCCUCUUGAACCAGUAUGGAAUAUGCUUGGUUAAUAGAAGGUAUUGGCUGCAUCAACAAGAGUUGACUACAAACCAUAAGAAUAAGAGUUAUUCAAUCCCAUGAGAAAUUGAAACGGACGUUGAUUUACAUAUUCAGUAUUUUUCCAAGAUACUUCACAAUUGCAUAAUGCAAACGGCACAAUCGUAUCUAAUUCAUCCCAAAGAAAACAUAGACGAGUAUGAUAAGCUGAAAUGAAAGAAGUACCUUGAGAGUGUGAGACAAUUUCCCUGUGCAAGAAGUACACACGAUGCCAUCAAUUUUAUCAAAUCGUUCCUUAAGAUCUUGCCAAACCAACGAGACGCUGGUAGCAAACACAGUCUCUGCAGAGAGCUCUUGAGUAACAGUGUUCAAGAUCCAAGAAAGACAAUGGUGUUACAUCGAUCCCACUGAGCCAAAAGUUCCGGUGACAAGGCAUCACGAGAACAAGAACCAGCAAUAAAUCUUAUUUUGUUUUUGGCAAGGAGGGCUAUUCAGAUUGAUCAACUCCACAGAUUGUAAUUUUCAAUCGUAGUCAACUGACGAGACACAAGGAACGUCCUAGGUGUAUCUGACGGAUGAAGAUAAAAUGGAUAACUAAAGUCAAUUUGGUGUUCUUGUGGAGUAACCAUGAUUAUGUGGAAAAAGAAAAACAAAAAAAAGUGCAAAUCUAGAGAAGAGAAUAAAUAAAUCUGAAAUGAGGUAGAAGAAGGAACUUGAGCAAGUUGAACCAUUAUUGACUAAUGGCAGCAAGUUGAAUGGAAGCAACCACCGACGGUGGCUCUGAUACCAUGUCAACUGGUGGCUGAUGAUCGAUGUUGAUUGAAGUCCGAUGACCAGAAGGCUGCGUAUACUAACAGAGAUAGACAGGAGUUGAAUAAAUUCCUUCUAUUUUAUCGUGAUAAUUACGAAACAAAACCAAUGAAUAUAUACUACUACCUAAUUGCUAAUAACCAACCGCUAACUAACUAACAGUUCUUCAACACAUUCAAACUGUUUGAUCAACCUAUAUAUAUAAUAAAUUAAUUUUGGUCAUGAAAGGUUAGCUUGCUUUCAUUAAUAUGUUUAAAUUUACUUAUUUGAUUUUAGUAUUGACAAUACCACAAGCUCCUUUAUCCGCGAUUCUAACAAACUUUGUUCAUUGUGAGGUAAGAGUAAGGUUCCUAGAAGUCUUACUUUUUAUUCUUCUAUUUUUAAAUUUGUUUAUUUAUGAUUGUGGACUUGAGUGUAAAAUAUAUUAUUUAUAUGUUGUUAAUUUUUUAAGGAAUAAUAUUUAGUACUACAACUAAGAUUAAAUAAUAAAUAUUAAAAUAAUAAACAUGAUAAUUUUUAAAUUUUUUUGUAUGGAAUAGAAAAAAGUAAACUAUAAGUGUACUAAAUAUUAACCUAUUUUUAAUUAAUUUAUUAAUGAGGUGAUAAUACUGAUACUACGAAUGAUGUCUUAAUUGAAUAAUUAAUUUAAAAGAAAUAAAAUUUUAAAAUAUCUUUAGCCUAAUAAAUAUAAAAAGAAAGCCUAGAAAUUUGCAUUGAAGUAAAAACUGUUAAUCCUUAUCCCAAUCCCAAAUCACUUUUAAUGUAAACGACUAAACAAAUGAAAAUCAAAAUAAAAACUGGUAAACUUCAAUCAAAUUUGUCCACUUAUGUAAAGUAGUUGAAAAAGUAAGAGGCAGGCCUUGCCUUUGGUCAGCCUUGGCGUCUCAACCCAGCCCAUGGUUUUUUUCUCCAAAUAAAGAUAGGUGAUUCUGAAAUUAAAACUUCUCAUUGGCCAUAUAAUUUAUUUUAAUAUUAUAUGCCCCUUCAGUGUCAAGGAUUCAUCCAUAGAAUUACACCAAGUAGUAGACACUUGUGAAUUUUAGAUAUCACAUGAUGUAUCCAUUUCCAUAAAAAAGUCAUGCUGACUAGAAAAUUCUAAGUUAAUAAAGGUUUAGCUCUGCUUCCCCCCUUUGUUUUGUGGUUACAAAUCAUAUUUUUUAUUUUAAUCGCAAAAUAAGUUAGUGGUAGGGUAGGGAAUCAUUAUCCGUUCGCUUGUGGAGCUUGGAACGCUUUCGAUCUAAGCUGUUAUAAAAAUAGACGGACCCGUGUACUCGGCUGCCCCAUCAUUUAUUUAUAUAUAUAUUAUAUAAUAAAUAAUAUAAACGAAAUUAAAAUAAAAAAUAGUUUAAAUUAAAAAAAUUUAAAUAGGUAAAUAUAUUAUAUUAAAUGUUAUAUUUCAAUAAAAAAAACAUUACCGAUAUAUUGUGGGUGACAUAAUUGUAAUAAGAUUCAAAUAUUAAAAUAAAAUUUUGAGUGAAUUAAUAAAAAAAUAUUUAAAUUUUAAUAUCCGUAAAUUUUAUCUUUAUUUUAUUAAAAAUGUAAACGAAUAAAAAUGCCCUUAAGAGUAUAAGUUAUUUCAAAUAUGCAAGAAUAAUUUAGUAAUUUUCAACUGAUCUGAUUUUCCGUCAAUUUGUAAUAUUAAUUUAAUGAAAAAUUUAAAUAAUAGUAUAGAUUAUAAGAUAAUUAUAAAUUGAAAAAUAAAUAAUAAUAAAAAAUCAAGGAAAAGAUGUGAAAGAUGUACUUACCAUUUAAUAGAGAUUUUUUUUUUCAAUUUUAUUUUAACAUUUUCCUUUUAAAUAAUUAACCUUGAAUUUAAAAAAAAAGUAAAAUCGAAAUUUGUUACAAGUAUGACAUUUUAACUUAGAUUUAAUGGAUUGAUACAACUUUGACGCCAGAUAUUAUCCGUACAUUAAAUAUUGAACUUAUUUGUGUUUUCUCUUCAUAUUUCCAGUACUUCCUCCCUUUCUCUGUUCCUUCCAUAACCCAUUCGCUUUGCAUACCUUUCUUCCAUCCAAUUACUUCUUGUUAUACUUACAUAUGAUAAUAUUUUUUAUACCACCAUCAACAACUACUAUAACCAAACCCUACCUAGUUUUUUCUUUUUCUCUGUUUUCUCAACCAAACCAACCUUUCUGCACUGCUUUCUUUCAGUCUUCAUACCACUCUGCUCUUCAAAUUAGUUUGGGGGUUUUUUUGGAGGCUCUGCUUCUAGGCCUUGCCUGCCCAAAAACAUAAUAAAAGAAUCCAUUUCAAUCGCAACAGAGACGGGGAUGUUGCAGCUGUUCUUCACAAUUGCUUUCUCUGCAGCGCCGUUGACUCUAUAUGUCCCGCCUGUGAGGAGCUUGAAUCACUUCGUAGAGACCAUGGAGGAUCUGGUAAGGGAGUCGCGGGUGUAUACCCACAGGCUUUACCCACGUGCACGCUUCGUCUGGUCUAGGCUCUUGGAUUGCAUGCUUUGCAACUUGAGUUUAGAUUAGAGUAGGCUGUGUUGUGUUGUGCCAUCUCCUAACCCUACUUUAAUUAUUAGAUCUCUUUCAAUGUACAUAUGGAAUUUUGGUUUCUUUUGCCUCUCUGGUCAUGUGACAAAGGCUCUUGUUAUAGCCAGGAAUAAAAGUCAAAAGCAUUCUUUUGGUGGUUCCAUAUAUGUUUCUUUGUGUUGUAUAUAUAUCUUCGCGGGAUCCAUAGAGUGAUUGGUGAGUGUUAUUUAAAGUUUAUGCUAUCAACCCUUUUUUAUUUUAAUCACUAGUCUAUAUGAAAUCCCCCAGGGUUAGGGUUUUGAUGUAAUAUUUGUAUCUGCUUGUGAUGGGAUUCUGAAAUUUGAUUAUGUAUCUGGGUUUGUCCGUUUCCUCAUUAACCUUUGUAUCAACCUCAAUUAGCAAUCUUACUUCCAACAUUAGGAAACCCCUUUACUUGACUUCAAAUUCGACGCUGAAUCCCCAUUUUAAGCAUCCAACUGUUUAUUUACUCUUUCUUUGUUUAAGUCAACUAAAUUUGCACUCAAGCUGAGGUGGAUUCAUUACGGUUAAGUUGCUCAGCUUUAUUUAGCUCGAUCAUAGGUGAUGUAUUGUUGCCUGCCUAGGGCUUUUGGUGCGGUAUGUAUGUUAGCGUAGUAUGCCAGUUUGUGUGUGUUUUUGGGUUUUGUUGCUUACUCUAAUCUAUGAGGAAUUAGGUAGAUAAAGAUGAUAGGAGAAAUUGUCUGGAUAUGGAAAUGGCGGUGGGAGGACAAAAUUAAACACAGAAAAGCCGUACUCAUGUACCUUGUCAUAAAGACAGAACUUUCUUUAGUAUUAACAGACAAUUAAUGCUUCAUUAGUAGUGUUAAAUGUUGAUUUGAGUACAAACUGAUAGUCAAGAAAAAGGCGAGAGAGAAAGAAAUAAAGAAUCAUGAUAUUGGCUUUUUAUUCACUGAAAAGGGUUUUCAAUACAAUUAUUAAACAGAGAGAAAGCUACAUAGCUGACACUCAUAUGAAUGAAAGAAUGAAGACAUUUGAGUUUUGUUUACUCAGACAUUGUGCAAGGCUUGAGGAACCAAAAUACAUCCAACGCCCUUGCUUGUCUUCCAUCCGUAACAUUAACAUUAUUAAUAACAGAAGAACAAGAAGAUACACUGCUUCCUGCUUUUUCUGUCUUCAUAUCCUUGUUUUGCUUCACUUCUUGAAGGAUUCCCCUCUCCUACGGACACAUCAUAUACAAAUAUAAACUAAACAAAUCAUACCCAAAGCAAAAAGCAUGCAUACUGAAGCAACUAGUUGCAUACCAUAAGUCUGGAUCUGGAAGCCUUGGAAGGGGUGGCAGUUGUUUUGGUAGGGGCAGAAAAGCACUGAGGAGAGGGUGGAUUGGUACGUAUUUGCAGUAACCUUUCUUCCCCUUUGUUUUUGUGCUUCACAUCCUCCAAAUUUAGUGAGAUAUUAGAGGGUGCCAUGUUCUCUGCCUCAUCACCAUGUGUUCUGCUUCUGUUUCUGCAACAAUAUCAUUCAACAUGAAUCAAACUUAAAGAUCUUUUAAAAUUAGUUUUUCACAUAAGUGAUACUCACAUUUUCAUCUUUUCUUUCUCUUUAGCAAUGCCUUGUUUCUCUUGACCCAAUUCAAGCAAUGGUUUCCUCUCUUUGUCCAACUCACCCAGAACCUGGGUCUUUUCAUCUUGAGUGUUUUCCUCUCUCUCUUUCUCCCUAGCCCUGCUUGCCAAUUUCUUUAACUCGUUGCAAAACUCACUUAUAUGACUCAGUAUAUCCCUACCAGCAAACAAAUUCCUAGCUGACGCACUACUUUUCAGAGACCGUAUCUCGUCACUUUGGGACUGGAGUAUACCAUCUGUUAUAAUGGGUUUAUUUUUUUCACUGCUGGACUUGAUUGCCGCUUUCAAAGACUUAGCUUGGUGAUUAGUAGGAGGAGUUGAUAAAUUUGGGUUAUGGUUUUCACUAUCGUCGAACUUUGAAAAACUAGAAGAUUGAGUUUGUUGCCCUCUUCUCUUCAAUUUGGCAUCUCUGAAAACAAUACAACGCCCAAAAAUGGAAAUAAGAUGUAAAGAAAAAAAAAACACAGAAUCUUGAAACCAAGACUUGUUGUAAGGUAAUUAAGUUGCGUUUAGUAAAUACCCUUGAUUCAAUUCCCGAAAUGGGAAGUUUCCAGCUCCACCGCCAGGAACUGAUCGUCGUGGAAGCUUCAAAAGAUUAACAAAAACAAAACAAAAAAUGAGACAAAUGGUCCAUAAAUACAUGCAGCAGCAUUGUAGUAUCUGGAACUAAAUGGAAAGAGGCAUAAAAGCAGAGAAUAAAAACCUUAGCAGGAGGAGAGGGUUGAAGGAAAUCCUCAGCAGUCUUGGGAUGGUUACAGUCUGCAGUAUCCAGAUAAGAAAAAGUUUACAAAAAAAAAAAAGAAAUGAAGUGAGAGGGCAGAGGAGAAAAGGGAAAAGAAGAGAAAUGAAAGGGUACCAGGAGUGCAGAACCAGGCAUCAUCGUCGAUGGAAGGUUGGUGAGGGUCAGGGGCCAAGAAAUCAACCCAUUUAGGGGCGUUGAUGUGUUCGUAAACGCAGUCCUCAACGAAGCGGGAGUCUAUUCUGGUCCAGUCGAUUUUUGCUGGUUCCAUUAUGCGAAAGCCAAAAAAGUAGGGGAUUAGCAGGAGGGCAGAGAGAGAUGGAAAAAUGCGUCAAUAGGCUGAGUUUCUAUUCUUAAGUGCGAGUGAAAGUGAACGUUAUUACGUUACGUUAGUGGGGUCCUUUUUCUUCAUUUUUAAUUAGAAUUUAUUGUUUCUUCUGACCGUUGGGGAUUUUUUUUUUUUUAAUAAUCGGUGUGUAGUUUACUUGGUCUUGAUGGCCAGGGAUGGCAAACCACUUCCAGUGUGGGUUUGUGGAAUAACAGAGGCUGGGUAGGGCAGAAUGAUAUUUUUUGGGUACCAACUGCCACCACUUAUUCCAUUCCAUUCAAUAUAUGAAAUUAACAUUUAUUAUUUUUAAUUGUAAAAGAAAAAAAAACCAAGCAUAUUAUAGAAUAAAUCUUAAAUUCUUCUAAUUUUUCAUUUUCUAUUUGUAUGUAACAGCAUUAUUUAAAUUGAAUUGAAUUAAUUAAUUAGUUUGGUUAAAUUGAAAAUGAAUCGAUUCAUAAAUUAGAUUAAAUAUUAAUUGAAUUGACUUUUUUUUAAUAAUUUAUUUAAUUACGUGAAUUAAAUUUAAAGUUAAUUAAUUAGCGAAAAUCUUGAGUAUUGAUUACAAUAUAAAAUUAUGUAUUAAAACAAAAAUAGAUAGAGCGGAAGCUGUAUUGUGAUCCCUACCGAAGAAUAUAUCCUAAAAGAAAAUGGAAAGGCUUAGUUUAGUUUAGUUUCACGUGCCAAAGGGCAUGUGAUGAGUAAACUUCGGUUGUUGCCUUGAUCCAAAUCAACGGCUUUUUUUUUCUUUUAUGCCAGAAUCUUACUUAAGAUUCAAUCUUUUACGCUUUACUAUUAUUACAUAACUUCUUUUUAAUAAUUGAAGAUGCUAGGGUUUCAUCAUUCACAUUAGGAUUCAGACUUUAACUCUCCACCAAAAACAAUCACAUGUUUUUUUCUAUCAUGUUCAACAUUACUCUUUUAUAGGAUAAUUUUAAUAUAUGUUGGAGAAAAUUUUUUUAUUUGACUAUAUAUGUUAUUGUUUUUAUUUAGAGAAAAAGGAAAACGCGUUCUACAUAGUACGCUUUCAGUCACAUUAGCUGAAAACGCAUUCUGUAAGACACAUUUUCACUAAAAAUAGAUAAAAUUUCUUUCGGCCAAGUGGUUAAAUGUUAAUAUUUUUGUCCCUGAGUUUCGAGUUCAAUUCCUCUCCUACUCACAUUUAUAUUUUUUAUUCCAUGUUGUUUUAAGCUUCUUUUUUUUUAAUUAAUAUUUUUAACAUAUUAGUUCUUUUGGUU
rnacentral:lncRNA from 1 species